rnacentral:rRNA from 1 species
UACGUAGGGUGCAAGCGUUGUCCGGAUUCAUUGGGCGUAAAGAGCGUGUAGGCGGCCUGGAAGGUCAGCUGUGAAAACUCGAGGCUCAACCUCGAGACGUCGGUUGAAACCACCUGGCUAGAGUCCGGAAGAGGAGUGUGGAAUUCCCGGUGUAGCGGUGAAAUGCGCAGAUAUCGGGAAGAACACCCGUGGCGAAGGCGGCACUCUGGGACGGUACUGACGCUGAGACGCGAAAGCGUGGGGAGCGAACAGG